rnacentral:rRNA from 1 species
UGAGAGUCCUGAAGGAACGUUGAAGACGACGACGUUGAUAGGUCGGGUGUGUAAGCGUAGCGAUACGUUGAGCUAACCGAUACUAAUGAACCGUGAGGCUUAACCUU